rnacentral:rRNA from 1 species
AUUGAACGCUGGCGGCAGGCCUAACACAUGCAAGUCGAACGGUAACAGGAAGAAGCUUGCUUCUUUGCUGACGAGUGGCGGACGGGUGAGUAAUGUCUGGGAAACUGCCUGAUGGAGGGGGAUAACUACUGGAAACGGUAGCUAAUACCGCAUAAUGUCGCAAGGCCAAAGAGGGGGACCUUCGGGCCUCUUGCCAUCGGAUGUGCCCAGAUGGGAUUAGCUAGUAGGUGGGGUAACGGCUCACCUAGGCGACGAUCCCUAGCUGGUCUGAGAGGAUGACCAGCCACACUGGAACUGAGACACGGUCCAGACUCCUACGGGAGGCAGCAGUGGGGAAUAUUGCACAAUGGGCGCAAGCCUGAUGCAGCUAUGCCGCGUGUAUGAAGAAGGCCUUCGGGUUGUAAAGUACUUUCAGCGGGGAGGAAGGGAGUAAAGUUAAUACCUUUGCUCAUUGACGUUACCCGCAGAAGAAGCACCGGCUAACUCCGUG